rnacentral:rRNA from 1 species
GGGGAAUAUUGGACAAUGGGCGAAAGCCUGAUCCAGCCAUGCCGCGUGUGUGAAGAAGGUCUUCGGAUUGUAAAGCACUUUAAGUUGGGAGGAAGGGCUGCAAGUUAAUACCCGGUUGUUCUGACGGUACCCAAAGAAUAAGCACCGGCUAACUUCGUGCCAGCAGCCGCGGUAAUACGAAGGGUGCAAGCGUUACUCGGAAUUACUGGGCGUAAAGCGUGCGUAGGUGGUGGUUUAAGUCCGUUGUGAAAGCCCUGGGCUCAACCUGGGAACUGCAGUGGAUACUGGAUCACUAGAGUGUGGCAGAGGGUAGUGGAAUUCCCGGUGUAGCAGUGAAAUGCGUAGAGAUCGGGAGGAACAUCAGUGGCGAAGGCGACUGCCUGGGCCAACACUGACACUGAGGCACGAAAGCGUGGGGAGCAAACA